CUGUUAAUAACAGUGUGCAGUAUUUUUUUUUAUCAAAAGCAACCGUUAAUGGUUUUGAAAAAAGAAUAAAUACAAUUUUUACUUGAAAAUAUAAUAGAGUAAAAAAUUGUAGAUUAAGUGUAUAUUGGUAAUUCUUAGUAUUCCCGAAAGGCUAUAUCCAAUUAAAGUUUUAAUUUAACAGCACUAGCUGUUAAGCUGAUGAGCAAGCAAAAGAAUCCCGCACACUGUAAACUGAUAUAAAACACAUAAGUACCUACCAACAGUGUGGUGAAAAACAGUUGCAGCCGCUCGGGGUGAAAUUUGCAUACUAUGUAAACUAACCAAUCAAUAUCAAUGAUCUUCAUCAAAUAAUUGCAAUCAUCUUCAACUGUAACUAAGCACAUGGCUCUAAUCGUAAUCAAAUGUCAAGCCGCUUCCGCGCAAAUGUUGCUCGGACCAUGAAUCAAAUCUCUCGGACAUUUCAUCGGUCAUGUGAUUUCGCCAGUCGCCAAUUUUGCCUUUGCGUAUGAAUUUCGUCUCCCUCUGAGGAAGUUCACGCUCCAGAUUGAU